GACGUAGGGUGCAAGCGUUGUCCGGAAUUAUUGGGCGUAAAGAGCUCGUAGGCGGUUUGUCGCGUCUGCUGUGAAAACUCAGGGCUUAACCCUGAGCCUGCAGUGGGUACGGGCAGACUAGAGUGUGGUAGGGGAGAUCGGAAUUCCUGGUGUAGCGGUGGAAUGCGCAGAUAUCAGGAGGAACACCGGUGGCGAAGGCGGAUCUCUGGGCCUUGCCUGACGCUGAGGAGCGAAAGCGUGGGUAGCGAACAGG
rnacentral:rRNA from 1 species